rnacentral:rRNA from 1 species
UACGAAGGGGGCUAGCGUUGUUCGGAAUUACUGGGCGUAAAGCGCACGCAGGCGGUCUUCCAAGUCAGUGGUGAAAGCCCGGAGCUCAACUCCGGAACUGCCAUUGAAACUGUGAGACUUGAGGAUGAGAGAGGUGAGUGGAAUUCCCAGUGUAGAGGUGAAAUUCGUAGAUAUCGGGAGGAACACCUGUGGCGAAAGCGGCGCACUGGACCAUAACUGACGCUGAGGCGCGAAAGCUAGGGGAGCAAACAGG